rnacentral:rRNA from 1 species
UACGGGGGGGGCAAGCGUUGUUCGGAAUUACUGGGCGUAAAGGGCUCGUAGGCGGCCAACUAAGUCAUACGUGAAAUCCCUCGGCUUAACCGGGGAACUGCGUCUGAUACUGGAUGGCUUGAGAUUGGGAGAGGGAUGCGGAAUUCCUGGUGUAGCGGUGAAAUGCGUAGAUAUCAGGAGGAAUACCGGUGGUGUAAACGGCUCUCUGGACCGCCACUGACGCUGAGACACGAAAGCGUGGGUAGCAAACAGG